GGUGGGUUGCCCGAGUGGCCAAUGGGAGCGGACUGUAAAUCCGCCGGCUUAGCCUUCAGUGGUUCAAAUCCACUACCCACCACCA
rnacentral:tRNA from 1 species